rnacentral:rRNA from 1 species
GUCGGACGAGAAGCCUUGGAUUAUCUAAGGUGGAGAGUGGCGCACGGGUGAGUAACACAUGGCUGACCUGCCCCUCAGAGGGGGACAACCGGUGGAAACGCCGGCUAAUACCCCAUGCUUGCGUCCGGGUUAGAGGCCGGAUGCAGAAAGGCCGAGGCGCUGAGGGAGGGGGCUGUGGGCCAUCAGCUAGUUGGUAGGGUAACGGCCUACCAAGGCGAGGACGGAUAGGGGGCCUGAGAGGGUGACCCCCCACACGGGCACUGAGACACGGGCCCGACUCCUACGGGAGGCAGCAGUAAGGGAUAUUGCGACAAUGGGCGAAAGCCUGACGCAGCAACGCCGCGUGGAGGAUGAAGGCCUUCGGGUUGUAAACUCCUUUUCUGUGGGAAGAGGAAGGACGGUACCACAGGAAGAAGUCUCGGCUAACUACGUGCCAGCAGCCGCGGUAAAACGUAGGAGGCGAGCGUUAUCCGGAUUUACUGGGUGUAAAGCGCGUGCAGGCGGUCUGGUAAGUCGAGCGUGAAAGCUCCCGGCUCAACCGGGAGAGGACGUGCGAAACUGCGAGGCUAGAGACAGGUAGAGGCGUACGGAAUUCCGGGUGUAGUGGUGAAAUGCGUAGAUAUCCGGAGGAACACCAGUGGCGAAGGCGGUACGCUGGGCCUGGUCUGACGCUAAGACGCGAAAGCAUGGGGAGCGAACGGGAUUAGAAACCCCGGUAGUCCAUGCCGUAAACGAUGCUAACUAGGUGUUGCGGGUAAAAGACCGGCAGUGCCGGAGUUAACGCGAUAAGUUAGCCACCUGGGGACUACGGUCGCAAGGCUAAAACUCAAAGGAAUUGACGGGGGCCCGCACAAGCAGCGGAGCGUGUGGUUUAAUUCGAGGCUACACGAAGAACCCUACCUGGGCUUGACAUGACGGUGGUAGGGAACCGAAAGGGGACCGACCUUCGGGAGCCGUCACAGGUGCUGCAUGGCUGUCGUCAAGCUCGUGUCGUGAGAUGUUCG